rnacentral:tRNA from 1 species
UGUGGUUGUAGCUCAGUGGUAGAAUGCUUGCCUAGUAUGUGCAAGGCCUUGUGUUUGAUUCCCAAAACCGCAA